rnacentral:rRNA from 1 species
UUGAUCCUGGCUCAGAAUCAACGCUGGCGGCGUGCCUAACACAUGCAAGUCGAACGAGAAAGUGGAGCAAUCCAUGAGUAAAGUGGCGACCGGGUGAGUUACACGUGACCAAUCUACCCUUGAGUGGGGGAUAACCUCGGGAAACCGGGUCUAAUACCGCAUAAAAUCUUCGGGACGGAAGUGCUGAAGAUCAAAGGAGUAAUUCGCUUAAGGAGGAGGUCGCGGCUGAUUAGCUAGUUGGCGGGGUAAUGGCCCACCAAGGCAAAGAUCGGUAGCCGGCCUGAGAGGGCGCACGGCCAUACUGGAACUGAAACACGGUCCAGACUCCUACGGGAGGCAGCAGUGGGGAUUUUUGCGCAAUGGGGGAAACCCUGACGCAGCAACGCCGCGUGGAGGAUGUAGUCCCUUAGGACGUAAACUCCUUUCGACCCGGACGAUAAUGACGGUACUGGUGGAAGAAGCCCCGGCUAACUUCGUGCCAGCAGCCGCGGUAAUAAGGU